GACAGAGGGUGCAAACGUUGUUCGGAAUUACUGGGCGUAAAGCGAGUGUAGGCGGUUUGGUAAGUCGGAUGUGAAGCCCCGGGCUCAACCCGGGAAGUGCACUCGAUACUGCCAAGCUAGAGUAUCGGAGAGGUUGGUGGAAUUCUCGGUGUAGAGGUGAAAUUCGUAGAUAUCGAGAGGAACACCGGUGGCGAAGGCGGCCAACUGGACGAAUACUGACGCUGAGACUCGAAAGCGUGGGGAGCAAACAGG
rnacentral:rRNA from 1 species